rnacentral:rRNA from 1 species
UACGGGGGGGGCAAGCGUUGUCCGGAAUUAUUGGGCGUAAAGAGCUUGUAGGCGGUCUGUCGCGUCUGCUGUGAAAAUCCGGGGCUCAACCCCGGACUUGCAGUGGGUACGGGCAGACUAGAGUGUGGUAGGGGAGACUGGAAUUCCUGGUGUAGCGGUGAAAUGCGCAGAUAUCAGGAGGAACACCGAUGGCGAAGGCAGGUCUCUGGGCCACUACUGACGCUGAGAAGCGAAAGCAUGGGGAGCGAACAGG